rnacentral:rRNA from 1 species
GAUGAACGCUGGCGGCGUGCCUAAUACAUGCAAGUCGAGCGAACAGACGAGAAGCUUGCUCCUCUGAUGUUAGCGGCGGACGGGUGAGUAACACGUGGAUAACCUACCUAUAAGACUGGGAUAACUUCGGGAAACCGGAGCUAAUACCGGAUAAUAUUUUGAACCGCAUGGUUCAAUAGUGAAAGACGGUUUUGCUGUCACUUAUAGAUGGAUCCGCGCUGCAUUAGCUAGUUGGUAAGGUAACGGCUUACCAAGGCAACGAUGCAUAGCCGACCUGAGAGGGUGAUCGGCCACACUGGAACUGAGACACGGUCCAGACUCCUACGGGAGGCAGCAGUAGGGAAUCUUCCGCAAUGGGCGAAAGCCUGACGGAGCAACGCCGCGUGAGUGAUGAAGGUCUUCGGAUCGUAAAACUCUGUUAUUAGGGAAGAACAUAUGUGUAAGUAACUGUGCACAUCUUGACGGUACCUAAUCAGAAAGCCACGGCUAACUACGUG